rnacentral:rRNA from 1 species
AUUGAACGCUGGCGGCAUGCCUUACACAUGCAAGUCGAACGGCAGCACGGGUGCUUGCACCUGGUGGCGAGUGGCGAACGGGUGAGUAAUACAUCGGAACAUGUCCUGUAGUGGGGGAUAGCCCGGCGAAAGCCGGAUUAAUACCGCAUACGAUCUACGGCUGACAGCGGGGGACCUUCGGGCCUCGCGCUAUAGGGUUGGCCGAUGGCUGAUUAGCUAGUUGGUGGGGUAAAGGCCUACCAAGGCGACGAUCAGUAGAUGGUCUGAGAGGACGACCAGCCACACUGGGACUGAGACACGGCCCAGACUCCUACGGGAGGCAGCAGUGGGGAAUUUUGGACAAUGGGCGAAAGCCUGAUCCAGCAAUGCCGCGUGUGUGAAGAAGGCCUUCGGGUUGUAAAGCACUUUUGUCCGGAAAGAAAUCCUUGGCUCUAAUACAGGCGGGGGAUGACGGUACCGGAAGAAUAAGCACCGGCUAACUACGUG